rnacentral:rRNA from 1 species
ACUGGUUAGCUAGAGUGUGGGAGAGGAUGGUAGAAUUCCAGGUGUAGCGGUGAAAUGCGUAGAGAUCUGGAGGAAUACCGAUGGCGAAGGCAGCCAUCUGGCCUAACACUGACGCUGAGGUGCGAAAGCAUGGGGAGCAAACAGGAUUAGAUACCCUGGUAGUCCAUGCCGUAAACGAUGUCUACUAGCCGUUGGGGCCUUUGAGGCUUUAGUGGCGCAGCUAACGCGAUAAGUAGACCGCCUGGGGAGUACGGUCGCAAGACUAAAACUCAAAUGAAUUGACGGGGGCCCGCACAAGCGGUGGAGCAUGUGGUUUAAUUCGAUGCAACGCGAAGAACCUUACCUGGCCUUGACAUAGUAAGAACUUUCCAGAGAUGGAUUGGUGCCUUCGGGAACUUACAUACAGGUGCUGCAUGGCUGUCGUCAGCUCGUGUCGUGAGAUGUUGGGUUAAGUCCCGCAACGAGCGCAACCCUUUUCCUUAUUUGCCAGCGAGUAAUGUCGGGAACUUUAAGGAUACUGCCAGUGACAAACUGGAGGAAGGCGGGGACGACGUCAAGUCAUCAUGGCCCUUACGGCCAGGGCUACACACGUGCUACAAUGG